AUAGUUGCCGCUCUUGAUGGUUCCCUCAACGCUAAGCCUCGGGGAUGAAAAGGGAAUGCGCUAGGGACGACCCAAAGGGGGCCCGAAGCGCGGCUGCCCCCGCAACUGUACGCGGCGAGUCGUGAAUCGAAGAGGCCACUGGUGGGGACACCGGGAAGGCGAGGUUCAGGACAAAGACCUGCGAGCCAGGAGACCUGCCAUCAUGGAGAUCCGAAC
rnacentral:ncRNA from 2 species